rnacentral:lncRNA from 1 species
AUGUUAACAAACAAUCAUCCACUCACAGAGCAAUCAAUUAGCUACCUCAUUGUUUUCCCUACCCUAAGUUGGUCUCUGAUCAUUGUGGUGCUGCUACUGAGGAGGUUGAACUGUGAGCAGCUGCUGCUUUGGCCUCUAUUUCUGUCGAAGGAACUGUGCCACUUGAAGCAGCUACAUCAGAUUCAGCUGCCUCUCCGAACUUUUUGUAAAUAUCACCUCUAUAAAAUUUCCAUGUCCUAA